UCCGUUGAGGAUGAGAUAUUCGUCGCCCAACAGAAAACAUGGUCAGGUCAGCUGGUACGAACAGUAGGCCUGGGGUUCGGUUAAACCGAACCGAACCGUCUGUUCUUCGGUUUUUUGCAUAGUUUGGUUCCCAGAAAAUCGGAACCUUAAGAACCGAGCCAUUUCAGUUUCAGUCAGUUCGGUUCGGUUAUUAACUGAAUUAAUCGACCGGACCUGUUUGGCAGGAUCCAUAGAAAAGUGUGGCAGGAUUUUAGGUAAAAGUUGACAUAAUCAACAUUUAGCAGCACAAAUCGCAAAUCGGCUAGGCUGUCGAGGUCUCGAGGAGGAGCUGAGGAUGGGGCACUGGGGGCAGGUCCGACGCCGGUGCGGCAGGCUGCGCGGCCGCCGUGCCCCCAGGCUGUCGGGAGGCUGGGCCCACGCCACCGGCGGUCGAGCCCCUGCUGCAACCCCG
rnacentral:lncRNA from 1 species